AGAGAUCAAAUAAUCAAGUUCAUUAUGGUAUGUAUAUAUAUGUGUGUGUGUGUGUGUGUGUGUGUGUGUGUGUGUGUGUAUAUACACACACACACACACACACACACA
rnacentral:miRNA from 1 species